GUAAUAUUUUCUCCGUCUGGAAAUACUUGUCAUCAAAAUGAAUAAAAAGAGAUAUAUCUAUAUGUAUAUUAGUUCUAGAUACAUCAUAUUUUAUUCAUUCUGAUGACAAGUAUUUUCGGACAGAGGGAGUAUCUG
rfam:Triticum aestivum genome assembly, contig: Triticum_aestivum_CS42_TGACv1_scaffold_000680_1AL